rnacentral:rRNA from 1 species
UACGGGGGGGGCAAGCGUUGUUCGGAAUUACUGGGCGUAAAGGGUUCGUAGGUGGCCAACUAAGUCAGGCGUGAAAUUCCCGGGCUCAACCUGGGGGCUGCGCUUGAUACUGAUUGGCUUGAAUGCGGGAGAGGAUAGUGGAAUUCCCAGUGUAGAGGUGAAAUUCGUAGAUAUUGGGAAGAACACCGGUGGCGAAGGCGGCUAUCUGGCCCGUAAUUGACGCUGAGGCGCGAAAGCGUGGGGAGCAAACAGG